AAAGCAAAUGGGUUUGAAGACAUGGCACGUAAAAAAAAAUUUCUGGUUGGAUCACUUUUCUUUAAAAGGUAUUCUUUGGGUUCGUCUGAAUGGGGCUUGCCAACACAUUCCGACUAAACCUUCUCCACUACUGUUAUGUGGGAAGUGGCAUUCUUUCCUUCUCAUGGUCGCUCUCUGGGCUAAGAUUUAGUGAACCUUUUGGGGGCUUGGCUUGGUCUUCUCUUAUUCAAAUGGAAAAAAUCGAGUUUUGUGCUAUCAAGAAUAAGGAAUAGCCUUUAUUUUAGCUACAUCAGUGGCAAGGAUUGCCUCUGAAGCUGAGCAUCAUAAUAGAAAACAAAAAACCCCUUUUAAACUUUAUUAACACAGUAGAAUGCUCUCAACCAAAAAAACAAGACAUCCACACAAAUAAAGCAAAACUCCAUCUUUCAAAUAAAACAACUCUAGUUUCAUAUUUUAACUUUCAAUCUGAUAAUAUAAAGUUUGAAAAAGCUGUAAAUAUGAAGAUAAUGAGAAGAUACAUGCCUUUUCAGAUACCGGUGAAGACAAAGACGGUGGUGUGCGGUGGAAGUUAGAAAGACGUUACAGCAAAGGUCAAUAACACUGCAUCUGAAACAGAAAGGCACCAACAAAACAGAGC